CGGAAGCCUGACGGAGCAACGCCGCGUGCGGGAGGAAGGCCUUAGGGUUGUAAACCGCUUUUCUCAGGGAAGAAGAUCUGACGGUACCUGAGGAAUAAGCAUCGGCUAACUCCGUGCCAGCAGCCGCGGUAAUACGGAGGAGGCAAGCGUUAUCCGGAAUUAUUGGGCGUAAAGCGUCCGCAGGUGGCGAUUCAAGUCUGCUGUCAAAGGUCGGAGCUUAACUCCGGUUCGGCAGUGGAAACUGGUGCGCUAGAGGGCGACAGGGGUAGAGGGAAUUCCCAGUGUAGCGGUGAAAUGCGUAGAGAUCGGGAAGAACAUCGGUGGCGAAAGCGCUCUACUGGACGGCAACUGACACUCAGGGACGAAAGCUAGGGGAGCG
rnacentral:rRNA from 1 species